rnacentral:lncRNA from 1 species
CCAAAAUUAAUCAAUCUCAAAAUUUAGCUUUCAUCACUUUAAUUAACUACUACUUAUUCUUCCAAAACCUCAAAUACAAGGUAUUUAGCACCUAUACACUUAUACCGAAUUAGCAAGCACAUAUGAUCCUUGGUCGAAUGUCAUUAAACACAAGUCAUCAAAAUCUUAUUAUUUAACAUCUUAUAUAUUAUUAGAUAAAUGGAUUAAUUAUACAUAUAUAUACUACCAAAGCCGAACAUAAAAAU